rnacentral:rRNA from 1 species
UACGUAGGUGACAAGCGUUGUCCGGAUUUACUGGGCGUAAAGAGCGCGCAGGCGGUCGAUCAAGUCGAGUGUGAAAGCCCCCGGCUCAACUGGGAGGGUCAUUCGAUACUGAUCGACUCGAAGGCAGGAGAGGGUAGUGGAAUUCCCGGUGUAGUGGUGAAAUGCGUAGAUAUCCGGAGGAACACCAGUGGCGAAGGCGACUUCUGGCCUGCUCUGACGCUGAGGCGCGAAAGCUAGGGAGCAAACGGG